AGUAUCACAUUGUUUAAUCCACCCAAAAACAUCCUUCAACAUACCAAGCCAAAAGAAGUGGUUUUUAAACCUCAAAUAAGUCACAUUCACCUCGGAAUGCCCCCCAAAGGACUGUCAUGGUACAAAGCAAUCAAGUGAUGCCUCAAAUCAGUGAAACUACCUACAUACAGUCUGCUAUGAUAAUAAAGGACCCCUUGUUUCGAUUGAUAAUCUGCAGUUGAACUAUGCAAAGAGAGCUAUUGUAUUAUAGCAAUAGCUUUAGAGUCACCAUCAUAGCUAUGGAUAAGGUUGGUCAUCCAAGUAGGGAGGAUGGCAGAUUGAAGUGCACAGGAGGAAAUAAUAGCAGAAUUGCCAUCCCUAUCAGGUCUCCUAGAAAGGGCAUCAACAGCUUUAUUUUCUACACCCUUUCUGUAAAUAAUUUUG
rnacentral:misc_RNA from 1 species